GUGCCAGGAGCAGGAGCCGGUGCGCGCACACCUGCUUCCCCCGCACCUGGAGCCUCCUGCGCCCUGCCCACUGCCAUUUGGGCCAUGUCCACCUGGAGGACCAGAGCGUUCUCUCAAGGCUUGACUUGGAGACGCGCCACUGCGAUUUUGGGACACCUGGGGGGAACAACUCUUUAGAAGAGGCAGAGUGGAAAUUUCCUGUAAGGCUGGGGAUUACUGAUCUACUGGGAGACUUGAAUCAGCAUUCACAUAUUUACUAGUGCCUGGUCAAUUUGAGUAAUACAAUAUAGUUGCAAUCACCUGCUGGACAUUUCACAAGAAAGCUCAAUGGACUCACUGCUCAAAUGGAGCUUAAAAGAAUCACUUUUAAAGGAUACCAUGACUGAAGAAGUCAUAUUUAUCAACAUUAAAUAAACAUUUGGUGAACCCCAGCAAAGGGAAAAGGAGGAACCCUACAAUGACAGCAGCAGUGAGACAACAGCGAGAGCAGCAGGACCCCUCCCAUCCCCUGGAGAAAACAAGGAGCACUGGGAGCAAUUCAAAGGAUAAUACAAACUUAGUUUUCAAAAGGUCUGGCGAGUGGAAAUACCAAAUCUGUUCACUAGGUGGCAAAGCAGAUUCGAAGAACCAGCUCUGUAGAAGAAACCAAAGCCGCGGGUUCCCCCGGCAGGGACCAGGAAUUUUGCCUAGUUCAGUCAUGAAGUCUGUGAAAGACAUCAAACAGGGUCAACAAAGCUUUGCAAUUAAAUGCGUCUUUAAAGGGAACCAAACUUGUGAACUGAGCUCUUGGUGUCCAUUUCAGAAUGCAAGGAGAAAAGAUGUUACCUAAUUUGGUGCAAAUUGCUCUUGUGAAAAAAAAAUUUCUGAAUGUUAAAAGUGGAAUAAAAUUCCACUUAGAAAAGAGAAAGCUUGUUUUCAAAGAACUGAUAUAACAUGUUAUCUCUCUGGUUAUUGCCUUUCAUAUGUUCUUAUUUGAUUUGACAUCAGAAGUGUAAUAAGUUUGGAAAAAGUCUUACAUUAGUACUGCGUAAGCAUGGCAGUUGAUGCUGAAAUGACAUGGUUUUACCUUAAAAACAAAAAUUUAAAGUGGACUAAAGAUUUUCUGCAUUUGCACUUUGUAGUCUUGAUACCUUUUGAUAUUAGAAUUUGCAAAGAAAUGGCAUAAAGUAAAAUGCAGAAUGAGCAAUUGUUUUAAGCGUCUGUAAGACUCCUUUACCCAAAGAGGCCCCUUCACCAUUCCUGAAGUUAUUAUCUCCUAAAUAUAGAAGGAAAACAUGUGGCUAGAUUCUGUUUAUCAAAACCUUCACAGUCUAAAGGUACUUACUAUUUUCAAUAUUCUGAAGCCAUAGUUAUUAUUUACUUUCAAUACUGUGCUUUUGCAAUUUAAGAUAGAGAACAAUGGCUUGAAAACAUCAGUUGAGCUUACAGACUUGUGAAAAUAAUUCUGCUUAAAAGUUGCCUAGGGGAGACUAAAUAUUUCUGAUAUGUCAGCCUAUGUACUGAAAGGACACCUGGUGAAGAUAUUUUUUUGGUCUAAUAUUUAUACUUUUGUGAUUAAUUUAAGUUAUACUCAUUAGGAUUAUUGUCAAGGCCCACAUUUAUCAGAAUGUUUAUUUUUAUAUCUGGACAUGAUCCACACAUCUGAUUUUCUUUCAAACUUCAGCCUAUUUGCACGCCCGACUCAGACAGGUAUAUAUGCAACUGUAAGUUUGCAAAGAAAGUAGAAGCAGUGUGGGCGGCGAGCACCAAGCUGUGCCGCCAGCGCUGCCACAGCAAGUUAGAAUCAGGGAAGGUACCCGAUUCCACACAUGGGCGCAUUCCCUGAGAACUCUGAUCCUGCUUCCUCGUCUAUAAAGUAGGGAUUAUAAAACUUGAGGAUUAGGUAGAAUUCAUGUAGAGUACCCAGUACGGCCUGCCUGACCCCUAGUACUAUAGUUUCUUAAAAAUGGUAUGAUCAAUUUAAUAAUUUUCUCUGAUAGGUUGAUUUUAAGAAUCCCUUUUCCAUGCCCAACAAAAGCUAACUGCUGUUAAGUCUAAAGUGGUCCCUGGGGAUACCUGGAAAUGUUUGGAUCUAGUAUUUCUCCUGUCAUAACUUGGAGAGAAUGCAUUCUUAGCAUCUAGGGUGUUGAUGCUAGGGGUGCUGCUAAACAUCCUUUAACGCCCAGGAUAGCUCCCAACAAAAAAAUAUCUGGCCCAAGAUGUCAACGAAGUCAAGGCUGAGAAGCCCUGGCACAAAGAGAGAUAAGAGAGAAAAGUUGCAUUUUUUUUUCCAGAAAACUUCCUGAUACUGAUUAAUAGGGCAAACGCUAAAUCUCUUAAAGAACCAGCUCUCAUUUAUCUUCUCUGGGCACUAGUUUCUAAAGGAUGUAUCUCAUACUCAUGCAGCUGACUCUCCAGAUAUUGUUUCAGAUAGUAAAUAUGACUGAACAUUUCUGGAGGCCUUAGACUGGGUACAUGGUUCUCAAGGAACCAUUGAUUGGUGAUCCUAUUAACUAAAUAAAAUAAUUGCAACAGAAAUAUGGAUAAUCAGCUCUGCAUGAGUUGGCAGGGAGGCAGCAAAGAAAAGGAUAUUGUAUAACUCUUCAGGAAUAAGACUCCAGGAAGGCUAGGAAGAAAAGGGAGAACACAGCAUUCCAAGUAGAGGGAGGAGUGUGUGCAAAGUUCACUUGCCAGUGUUCCCAGUGUGUCCCACACAUGUUCCUUUUAGAGCACUAAGCAUUUCAAUGGGUGCCCCCCAACCCCAGAACACCACAGUCAGGAAGACUCUGUCUUCAGUUACCCAACAAUUAACUCUGAGAGGAAGCACAGUUUCUUUCCAACAGCAGACCCAGAACUGUGGCUUGCCAAAUUCUUUCUUCCUAUAGUAAGCGUCCUUACUUCAUGAGGUUGUUAGACUUCGGCCAGGAGACCCACAGUACAAGGGCCAGGAAGGCACAAGUGGAAAUAUGGUGAAGGGCAGUGUCUGGCAGAGACUGGGAGCCAGGGCCAAGGGCCCAUAGGUAGCGUCUGGAAGGCUGGUAUACCAGUGUGGAUGUUCUCAAAACCAUGGUGGCAUUUAGAUGGACUGAAAGAAUUUGGUAGACUGCAUGUCUCAGGGCAGAGAGGAGGCACAGGCAGGAGAGAGGAGCAUCCCACUUAUCAGGAUGGGAGUCAGGGCUGCUGCAGAGAGAAAGCUUUCAAGCAAACAUACCAUCUUCUCCAAUGUGGUAUCUCCUCUGGUGAUGGAUCCAAGGCAGCCAGAGGUCCCUGUGACAACUAAGCAGAAGUUAACCUGAAGUAAUUUUGCAGCAGUUCUUUGCUGCUCCUGACUUCACUGUGAAAGAUGCAUAUUUAUAAUUGAUAAAUCUGCAGGAACUGGGGCGUGGAGGGGAGUGGAGGGUCAUAGUUGAGAAUCUGGGUUGAAUCCUGGUUCACCACUUAUGAGCUGUGAGGUUUGAGGUCAGUUACUAAAUCUCUAGAAAGCUUCAAAAUUCAUGUGAAAACAUUGAGAACAGCAAUACUGCAUGGUUGUUUCCAAAUCUGUAGUAGAACCCCUAUAACUGAAAUAAAGUGGCUCGUCAGCAGAUAAAGAGUUUAGAGGAUCGAUAUUUGAUGCAUGUAGUUUUAUUGAUAUUAUUCUAUUUUUCUUACAGAAGCAAAUAAGAAAAAAUAAAAGUGUGCCUCCACAAAGAAAGCAUUCAAUAGAGUAAAAACCUGCAGAAUAGGAGGAAGUUUUUGCUAGUUACUCUUCAAAUAGAAGACCAAUAUCUAGCACAUAAAAAGAAUACAAAAAAUUAACCUAACUGAAUAAUGGGAAAAUCAAAUACACACCUCUAAAAAAAAAGAAGUACAAAUAAGCACAUGAAAAAAUUUUCACCAUCUCUAGCCAUUAGGGAAACUAAGUCAAACAACACUGAGCUUCCAUCCUAUUCCAGUUAGAAUGGUCAUCAACACACACGCACACACACACACACACACACACACACACACACACACCACCACCACCACCACCACCACCACCAACAACAACAACAACAACAACAACAACAAGAACAAGAACAAAUUCUGGUGAGAAUGUGGGAAUAAUGGAACCAUUCUACAGUG